GACGAACGCUGGCGGCGUGCUUAACACAUGCAAGUCGAACGGAAAGGCCCUGCUUGCAGGGUACUCGAGUGGCGAACGGGUGAGUAACACGUGGGUGAUCUGCCCUGCACUUCGGGAUAAGCCUGGGAAACUGGGUCUAAUACCGGAUAGGAGCCAUUUUUAGUGUGAUGGUUGGAAAGUUUUUUCGGUGUAGGAUGAGCUCGCGGCCUAUCAGCUUGUUGGUGGGGUAAUGGCCUACCAAGGCGGCGACGGGUAGCCGGCCUGAGAGGGUGGACGGCCACAUUGAGACUGAGAGGCGGCCCAGACUCCGACGGGAGGGAGCAGUGGGGAAUAUUGCACAAUGGGCGCAAGCCUGAUGCAGCGGCGCCGCGUAGGGGAUGACGGCCUUCGGGUUGUAAACUCCUUGCGCUAGGGACGAAGCUUUUUGUGACGGUACCUAGACAAAAAGCACCGGCUAACUACGUG
rnacentral:rRNA from 1 species